rnacentral:piRNA from 1 species
UCCCACAAGCACAAAGGAUGGAGCCGA